GGAGUCGGCCAGACAAUCGCUGUGGUUCGCCGCAGAGGAAAGUCCGGGCUCCUUCGGACAGGGCGCCAGGUAACGCCUGGGGGGCGUGAGCCCACGGAAAGUGCCACAGAAAAGAUACCGCCGGCCUCGGUCGGUAAGGGUGAAAAGGUGCGGUAAGAGCGCACCGCGCGGCUGGUAACAGUCCGCGGCACGGUAAACCCCGCCCGGAGCAAGACCAAAUAGGGGAGUUAGCGAGCGUGCUCGCACCGUCGGUUCCGAACGGACUCCCGGGUAGGUUGCUAGAGGUAGCCGGUGACGGCUACCCCAGAUGAAUGGUUGUCGAUGACAGAACCCGGCUUAUUGCCGGCUCCGGCU
rnacentral:RNase_P_RNA from 1 species